rnacentral:rRNA from 1 species
ACGCUCGACACCUACGGGAGGCAGCAGUGGGGAAUAUUGCACAAUGGGGGAAACCCUGAUGCAGCGACGCCGCGUGAAGGAAGAAGUAUUUCGGUAUGUAAACUUCUAUCAGCAGGGAAGAAACUGACGGUACCUGACUAAGAAGCACCGGCUAAAUACGUGCCAGAAGCCGCGGUAAUCUGAGCGGGCUGGCAAGGC